UACGUAGGGGGCUAGCGUUGUCCGGAAUCAUUGGGCGUAAAGGGCUCGUAGGCGGCCAACUAAGUCAGACGUGAAAUCCCUCAGCUUAACUGGGGAACUGCGUCUGAUACUGGAUGGCUUGGAUUUGGGAGAGGGCAGUGGAAUUUCCGGUGUAGCGGUGAAAUGCGUAGAGAUCGGAAGGAACACCAGUGGCGAAGGCGGCUGCC
rnacentral:rRNA from 1 species